GACGUAGGGUGCAAGCGUUGUCCGGAUUUAUUGGGCGUGAAGGGCUCGUAGGCGGCCAACUAAGUCGGAUGUGAAAUCCCCAGGCUCAACUUGGGAACUGCAUCCGAUACUGGAUGGCUUGAAUCCGGGAGAGGGAUGCAGAAUUCCAGGUGUAGCGGUGAAAUGCGUAGAUAUCCGGAGGAACACCGAUGGCGAAGGCAGCUCUCUGGCCUGACACUGACGCUGAGGUGCGAAAGCGUGGGGAGCGAACGGG
rnacentral:rRNA from 1 species